CACCGAUUGCGAAGGCAUCUCACGAAUCCGACACUGACGCUGAGGCACGAAAGCGUGGGGAUCAAACAGGAUUAGAUACCCUGGUAGUCACGCAGUAAACGAUGAUGACUAACCGUCGGCGAUAGACAGUCGGUGGCCAAGCGAAAGCGAUAAGUCAUCCACCUGGGGAGUACGUUCGCAAGAAUGAAACUCAAAGGAAUUGACGGGGGCCCGCACAAGCGGAGGAACAUGUGGUUUAAUUCGAUGAUACGCGAGGAACCUUACCCGGGCUCGAACGGUGCAGGAAGGAACAAGAGAUUGUGACGCCCUUCGGGGCCUGCAUCGAGGUGCUGCAUGGUUGUCGUCAGCUCGUGCCGUGAGGUGUCGGCUCAAGUGCCAUAACGAGCGCAACCCUUGUCAGUAGUUACCAGCAUGUAAAGAUGGGGACUCUACUGAGACUGCCACCGCAAGGUGAGAGGAAGGGGGGGAUGACGUCAAAUCAGCACGGCCCUUACGUCCGGGGCGACACACGUGUUACAAUGGCGGCCACAGAGGGAAGCCACCCUGCGAAGGGGAGCGAAUCUCGAAAAGCCGUCUCAGUUCGGAUCGGAGUCUGCAACCCGACUCCGUGAAGCUGGAUUCGCUAGUAAUCGCGCAUCAGCCAUGGCGCGGUGAAUACGUUCCCGGGCCUUGUACACACCGCCCGUCAAGCCAUGAAAGCCGGGGGUGCCUGAAGUUCGUGACCGCAAGGAGCGACCUAGGGCAAAACUGGUAAUUGGGGCUAAGUCGUAA
rnacentral:rRNA from 1 species